rnacentral:rRNA from 1 species
AGCGGCCGGUCUAAGUUCCUUGGAACAGGACGUCAUAGAGGGUGAGAAUCCCGUAUGUGACCGGUUGGCACCUUCCACGUAGCUCCUUCGACGAGUCGAGUUGUUUGGGAAUGCAGCUCUAAAUGGGAGGUAAAUUUCUUCUAAAGCUAAAUACCGGCCAGAGACCGAUAGCGCACAAGUAGAGUGAUCGAAAGAUGAAAAGCACUUUGGAAAGAGAGUUAAAAAGCACGUGAAAUUGUUGAAAGGGAAGCGCUUGCGACCAGACUUGUCGGCGGUGUUCCGCCGGUCUUCUGACCGGUCUACUCGCCGUCGGCAGGCCAGCAUCAUCUGGGGCCGCCGGAUAAAGGUUUAGGGAAUGUAGCUCCCCUCGGGGAGUGUUAUAGCCCUUUGCACAAUACGGCGCGUCCCGGGUGAGGUCCGCGUCUCGGCAAGGAUGCUGGCGUAAUGGUCGUAAGCGGCCCGUCUUGAAACACGGACCAAGGAGUCGAUUAUCUAUGCGAGUGUUCGGGCGUCAAACCCCUACGCGUAAUGAAAGUGAACGGAGGUGGGAACCUUAGGGUGCACCAUCGACCGAUCCGGAUGUCUUCGGAUGGAUUUGAGUAAGAGCAUAGCUAAUCGGACCCGAAAGAUGGUGAACUAUGCCUGAAUAGGGUGAAGCCAGAGGAAACUCUGGUG